rnacentral:rRNA from 1 species
GCCUGAUGCGCCAUGCCGCGUGUAUGAAGAAGGCCUUCGGGUUGUAAAGUACUUUCAGCAGUGAGGAAGGGGGUGUCGUUAAUAGCGGCAUCUCUUGACGUUAGCUGCAGAAGAAGCACCGGCUAACUCCGUGCCAGCAGCCGCGGUAAUACGGAGGGUGCGAGCGUUAAUCGGAAUUACUGGGCGUAAAGCGCAUGCAGGUGGUUUGUUAAGUCAGAUGUGAAAGCCCGGGGCUCAACCUCGGAACUGCAUUUGAAACUGGCAAACUAGAGUACUGUAGAGGGGGGUAGAAUUUCAGGUGUAGCGGUGAAAUGCGUAGAGAUCUGAAGGAAUACCAGUGGCGAAGGCGGCCCCCUGGACAGAUACUGACACUCAGAUGCGAAAGCGUGGGGAGCAAACAGGAUUAGAUACCCUGGUAGUCCACGCCGUAAACGAUGUCUACUUGGAGGUUGUGGCCUUGAGCCGUGGCUUUCGGAGCUAACGCGUUAAGUAGACCGCCUGGGGAGUACGGUCGCAAGAUUAAAACUCAAAUGAAUUGACGGGGGCCCGCACAAGCGGUGGAGCAUGUGGUUUAAUUCGAUGCAACGCGAAGAACCUUACCUACUCUUGACAUCCAGAGAACUUACCAGAGAUGCAUUGGUGCCUUCGGGAACUCUGAGACAGGUGCUGCAUGGCUGUCGUCAGCUCGUGUUGUGAAAUGUUGGGUUAAGUCCCGCAACGAGCGCAACCCUUAUCCUUGUUUGCCAGCGAGUAAUGUCGGGAACUCCAGGGAGACUGCCGGUGAUAAACCGGAGGAAGGUGGGGACGACGUCAAGUCAUCAUGGCCCUUACGAGUAGGGCUACACACGUGCUACAAUGGCGCAUACAGAGGGCGGCCAACUCGCGAGAGUGAGCGAAUCCCAAAAAGUGCGUCGUAGUCCGGAUUGGAGUCUGCAACUCGACUCCAUGAAGUCGGAAUCGCUAGUAAUCGUAGAUCAGAAUGCUACGGUGAAUACGUUCCCGGGCCUUGUACACACCGCCCGUCACACCAUGGGAGUGGGCUGCAAAAGAAGUGGGUAGUUUAACCUUCGGGAGGACGCUCACCACUUGUGGUUCAUGACUGGGGUGAUCGUU